rnacentral:rRNA from 1 species
GAUUGAAUUCCUGGUGUAGCGGUGGAAUGCGCAGAUAUCAGGAGGAACACCGAUGGGAAGGCAGAUCUCUGGGCCGUAACUGACGCUGAGGAGCGAAAGGGUGGGGAGCAAACAGGUUAGAUACCCUGGUAGUCCACCCCGUAAACGUUGGAACUAGUUGUGGGUCCAUUCCACGGAUUCCGUGACGCAGCUAACGCAUUAAGUUCCCCGCCUGGGGAGUACGGCCGCAAGGCUAAAACUCAAAGGAAUUGACGGGGACCCGCACAAGCGGCGGAGCAUGCGGAUUAAUUCGAUGCAACGCGAAGAACCUUACCAAGGCUUGACAUAUACGAGAACGGGCCAGAAAUGGUCAACUCUUUGGACACUCGUAAACAGGUGGUGCAUGGUUGUCGUCAGCUCGUGUCGUGAGAUGUUGGGUUAAGUCCCGCAACGAGCGCAACCCUCGUUCUAUGUUGCCAGCACGUAAUGGUGGGAACUCAUGGGAUACUGCCGGGGUCAACUCGGAGGAAGGUGGGGAUGACGUCAAAUCAUCAUGCCCCUUAUGUCUUGGGCUUCACGCAUGCUACAAUGGCCGGUACAAAGGGCUGCAAUACCGCGAGGUGGAGCGAAUCCCAAAAAGCCGGUCCCAGUUCGGAUUGAGGUCUGCAACUCGACCUCAUGAAGUCGGAGUCGCUAGUAAUCGCAGAUCAGCAACGCUGCGGUGAAUACGUUCCCGGGUCUUGUACACACCGCCCGUCAAGUCAUGAAAGUCGGUAACACCUGAAGCCGGUGGCCUAACUCCUUGUGGAGGGAUGCCGUCGAAGGUGGGAUCG